AUUGAACGCUGGCGGCGUGCUUAACACAUGCAAGUCGAUCGGUAACAGGUGUAGCAAUACAUGCUGACGAGAGGCGGACGGGUGAGUAAUGCUUGGGAAUCUGCCUAUUAGUGGGGGACGAACCCGGGGAAACGUCGGGCUAAUACCGCAUACGCUCUACGGAGGAAAGCCGGGGACCGGCAAGGCCUGGCGCUAAUAGAUGAGCCCAAGUCGGAUUAGCUAGUUGGUAGGGUAACGGCCUACCAAGGCGACAAUCCGUAGCUGGUCUGAGAGGACGACCAGCCACACCGGAACUGAGACACGGUCCGGACUCCUACGGGAGGCAGCAGUGGGGAAGUAAUUGGACAAUGGGGGCGAACCCUGAUCCAGCGACGCCGCGUGGGUGAAGAAGGCCUGCGGGUUGUAAAGCCCUUUCGGUGGGGAAGAAAAGUCUCGACCUAAUACGUCGGGACCUUGACGUAACCCACUAAAGAAGCACCGGCU
rnacentral:rRNA from 1 species